GUACUUGCUUCGGCAGCACAUACAUUAAAAUUGGAACAAUACAGAGAAGAUUAGCACAGCCCCUAUGCAAGGAUGAUACACAAAUUCGUGAAGCAUUCUGUAUUUUU
rnacentral:snRNA from 1 species